AUACGUAGGGGACGAGCGUUGUCCGGAAUUACUGGGCGUAAAGGGCGCGCAGGCUGUUUGACAAGUCAGCUGUUAAAUAUGGGGGCUUAACCCUUAUAUGCGGUUGAAACUAUCAGACUGGAGUGCUGUAGAGGCAAGUGGAAUUCCCAGUGUAGCGGUGAAAUGCGUAGAUAUUGGGAAGAACACCGGUGGCGAAGGCGACUUGCUGGGCAGCAACUGACGCUGAGGCGCGAAGGCGUGGGGAGC
rnacentral:rRNA from 1 species